rnacentral:rRNA from 1 species
AUGCAAGUCGAGCGGGGGAAGGUAGCUUGCUACUGGACCUAGCGGCGGACGGGUGAGUAAUGCUUAGGAAUCUGCCUAUUAGUGGGGGACAACAUCUCGAAAGGGAUGCUAAUACCGCAUACGUCCUACGGGAGAAAGCAGGGGAUCUUCGGACCUUGCGCUAAUAGAUGAGCCUAAGUCGGAUUAGCUAGUUGGUGGGGUAAAGGCCUACCAAGGCGACGAUCUGUAGCGGGUCUGAGAGGAUGAUCCGCCACACUGGGACUGAGACACGGCCCAGACUCCUACGGGAGGCAGCAGUGGGGAAUAUUGGACAAUGGGGGGAACCCUGAUCCAGCCAUGCCGCGUGUGUGAAGAAGGCCUUAUGGUUGUAAAGCACUUUAAGCGAGGAGGAGGCUACUUUAGUUAAUACCUAGAGAUAGUGGACGUUACUCGCAGAAUAAGCACCGGCUAACUCUGUGCCAGCAGCCGCGGUAAUACAGAGGGUGCGAGCGUUAAUCGGAUUUACUGGGCGUAAAGCGUGCGUAGGCGGCUUAUUAAGUCGGAUGUGAAAUCCCCGAGCUUAACUUGGGAAUUGCAUUCGAUACUGGUGAGCUAGAGUAUGGGAGAGGAUGGUAGAAUUCCAGGUGUAGCGGUGAAAUGCGUAGAGAUCUGGAGGAAUACCGAUGGCGAAGGCAGCCAUCUGGCCUAAUACUGACGCUGA